AGCCUGAUCCAGCCAUGCCGCGUGUGUGAAGAAGGUCUUCGGAUUGUAAAGCACUUUAAGUUGGGAGGAAGGGCAGUAAGUUAAUACCUUGCUGUUUUGACGUUACCGACAGAAUAAGCACCGGCUAACUUYGUGCCAGCAGCCGCGGUAAUACGAAGGGUGCAAGCGUUAAUCGGAAUUACUGGGCGUAAAGCGCGCGUAGGUGGUUUGUUAAGUUGGAUGUGAAAGCCCCGGGCUCAACCUGGGAACUGCAUCCAAAACUGGCGAGCUAGAGUAUGGYAGAGGGUGGUGGAAUUUCCUGUGUAGCGGUGAAAUGCGUAGAUAUAGGAAGGAACACCAGUGGCGAAGGCGACCACCUGGVCUAAUACUGACACUGAGGUGCGAAAGCGUGGGGAGCAAACAGGAUUUUUACACCCUGGUAGUCCACGCCGUAAACGAUGUCNACUAGCCGUUGGNAUCCUUGAGAUNUUAGUGGCGCAGCUAACGCAUUAAGUCGACCGCCUG
rnacentral:rRNA from 2 species